rnacentral:ncRNA from 1 species
GGAAGUAAAAGUCGUAACAAGGUUUCGCUCACUACGGAGACCGUGCAUCUGGCAACAGAGGCAGCGCGACAGUAAAGAAUGCUGACCGUAUGCAAGUCAGUCCUGCUGGCAACACGAUCGAAUUGCGGGAACGUCCUAAAGCUCAACCUACUCCCUGCCCCUGAAAGGGGGCAGCAUAGUCAUAAUGGCGGAGAUGUACAAUGGAUAAUCCGCAGCGAAGACCCUACAGCGCAAGCCACGGGUAUCGUUCACAGACUAAGUGAUUGUGGGUAGCGUGCUACUUAAGAUAUAGUCGGGCCCUGACCGAAAGGACAGGGAAAAACGUCCGUAGGUGAACCUGCGGAAGGAUCAUUA